rnacentral:lncRNA from 1 species
ACAAGCUGGGCGGUGCAGAUCUGUGUGGGAUGGUGACCGUGGUGACAGGAGCUGGCAUCACUCGAAUGUCACAGGAAGUCUUCUCUGAGACUCCUUUCCCUUACUUUGAGGGACCACUCUUGAUGCAGCCUUCACUACAGCAGGGGUGUUUCUUCAGUUAUGGUCCUGUAGUCACAGCUGCAUCAAGAGCUCUCCCUCUCUGAGGACCCCACUUCCCUCCUCCAAGCACUCCUGGAAUCUGGACCAUCGGAGAAAGCGUCAAUCCUGCCUUCCCCCUGCUCUUUGGCCAUCUACUCAGGAAAUGGUUUCGUGAUUCCCUCCUUGGUGCAAGCCCUGUCAAGCAGUGGGACAAGACAAGCUAGGCAGAAUCUGUACCUGGAGAUGCAUCCUCUAACCCCAGGAGUAAACGUACUGCAUGGCCCACAA